rnacentral:lncRNA from 1 species
AUGUGCUCGUUAAUUAAUUGUUUAGGUACGGUUUGAUUUGGGUAUAAGCAAUAACUAAUUAUUACAGGAAUAAAUACAAAUAUGGGGAUAAAAAAAAAUAAUGUUUGGAUGAAAAUUGAGUUGUUCUCGAGAAUAAAAAUAAUUUUAGAUAGUUUUAUAUAGAAAAUGGAGGUGUUGGUUGGGAUAACUGAGAACUACUAUUAUCGGGUAAAAAAUUAGCGUUUGGGUAUAAAGGAGGGGAUAAGGGCCGAUUCCUAUCCCUAUCUCUAUUCUCUAAAAACUAAUUAUUACAGGAAUAAAUACAAGUAUAGGGAUAAGAAAAAUAAUAUUUGGAUGAAAAUUGGAUUGUUUUCUGGAAUAAGAACAAUUUUAAAUAGUUUUAUUUAGAAAAUAAAGAUGUUCGUUGGGAUAACUAAAAAUUACUAUUCUCGAAUAAAAAAUUAACGUUUGGAUAUAAAGGGAUAAGGAUCUAUUCCUAUCCCUAUCCCCAACCAAACGUUGCUAGGGUUUAGGGUAGACGAGGCAUGGGAGUACUGGAUCGCGGGCGGAGGAAAAAUUCUAGAAUGCAACGGGUAUAUUAGUGACGUGGCGUAACAAACCAAUCAAAUUAAUCUUUUUAAGAAUAUAUGUCCCAUCAUGAUUGUAAAAAAGUAUUUUUAUUGUACUUUUGUUUGAAAAGAAAGAAUGUGAUUGGCUUGUUAUUGAUGACGUGGUGCAAGUGUGACAGUGUAGAAUUUCUCCG